GAUGUGUCUGUGUACCCUGCAGCUGGCCUCUUCCUUUUCCUUGAUUGCUUAUUGAUCUAUUGAUGACUCUGGGACCAUCACACUUGUCACUUGUGCUUGUUCUGAGGCUCAUGUAUUGUGCUGUAUGUAGGCACAUUAAAGAGCAUUAUAAGAUAAUAUCAUUUGUGUAUAUUGUUUGGAGAGGCACUUUCUCAAAAUAUAUUUUGCCCUAUACUUGAGUUGCUUUCUCUUUUCUUUUCCCAGUUCUGGGGACCGAAUCCUGCCUUGUGCAUGCUAGGCAGGCAUUCUAGCAUUGAAUGCUCCGUGGCUCAGGUGGUGAGUUUGCUGCUGCUGUGAGUGUGGACCCCACUGAUAACCACAUUAGCAGAUGCAGCUCUGCAGGUGUUUCCUCCACAAUUGCAGCUGAUCUGUUCCUUCUUAAAGGUCUUUUAUACCAGUGAAUUUUUUUUAAAAAAACUACAUCCAGUUUAGGUUUUCUCCCCAUGAAUGAUACUUAGGUGGAAUAUGCAGAAAACCCAGGCUUGAUUUCUCUCUGUGUUUAGAGUACCUCAGUAGCCCUGGUAAAAUUGUGUGAUGGUUUUCUUAAUACACACUGCAUGACCAAAGGCUUGAUAAGGAGCAUCCCAGUCUGAUGUCCUAAUUCAGCGGCACUCUCUUCUCCACCAAAUAAUCUUAAAUAAAUUCUCAAGAGACCUUCACCAUAAUUUUCUUUCAAGGGAAUGUCAGGAAAAGAUUUUGCAAAGAUCUCAAUGUGGGUUAUAACACAGACUUCUGCUUUUGUGGCAAAGCUUGGAAGUCCUCUGACAAAUCUUAAAAUUGAUACACAAAUCACUUUCUGUGAACUAAUCAAAACAAACAAACAUACAAAAAAACACCUUUAUGUAUACCCCUACAAAAAAUAUAAACCUCCAUCCCUGUCCCACUGGAUGUAAAUAAAGAUCAAUGAAAUUCAAAGCAGUGAUCCAAAAAAUUUUGUGAUACCCCUCAGAACCCUGCAGCUAAUCAAUGUGCUCCUGGAACCUGCCUUGGGUGUCUAGCCUCAUGUGCCCUACAUCACUAAUAAAGCUACAGCCUCCAAUCAGGUGAUAUUGUGCAGUACUUGCUGUGGAGAGGGCUGUUUCUGCUCAGGCUAAAGGAUUCAGUUACUUGUCCUAAGGAUUCAAAGCCUCCUGAGCAAAACCUCACCCACAACCUAUUCACGUGUCAUGGAUCUUGUGUGAUCAUUGGUGCGAGUUCCUUACAUACUUGUGUCCAAAUAUUGAAGUUUGCCAACAUGCCAAAGAUGGGUUGAUUGUCACUGCUACCUCUGUUGCAGCCAUUUGCUGUGUCUCAGUGUUUAUUUGGAAAGGAAGGCCAAAAGAGUGUGCUGUGGCCCUUUUGUUUUUGAUAAAUACAGCCUAAGCCAUCCAGUAAAACUUCAUUAAAAGAUAGUUUUGAACGCUUCCCAGGAUUUCCAAAAACUUUCUUUGCAGCUAAUGAGUCAGUGUGGCAAUUUCCUAGUUUUACAUUUUUGAUUUAGUAGAAAUAUUGCAUAGAGUUGUGUGAGCACUUGAUGCAGUCUGGACUUCAUUGUAAUAAAUCCAUUUGCCAAAGGCAGUAGUUGCAGGCUUGUUCCUGGGCAGAAUGAGGGACUGGAGUGAAUGCAACUGUCCUGGGGUGUGGGCAUUGUUUGUAGGAGUUCAGUCAUGGUGAGUACAUCAGUUUAGGAAUCAGACUCCUAGGAGGGCUACAUAAUCUCCUGACAGGACCUGCCUGUCCCUUUUGGACAAUAGUGUUGUCAUGUGAGCUGGCAGGUGGAUGGUUACCUUCUGAUGGAUUUGGGUUUGUAGCUGAGCAAGUAGUGAGAAUGUACAAUGAUUAAAUGAGAAUUAAAAUAUUCUUUGUGAUACCAAAGACAUAAUUUGGGGGCCAAACAAAAUAACAAGUAACCUCUUGGACCUUGAAUCACAUAUUUUCCUUCAUGUAUGCAUUUUCUUACAAACUUUUGUAGUGUGAUGCUUAUGUGGAACAAACUGAGAUAAACAUGGAGAGGUUUAUUUAAUGGUACAGUGUACUAGAAGUUUUAAAGACUUGCAGCAGGCUUAGAUUCCACUAUUGUUAAAAUUUUAUGAAAGACUCUGCAAUUCUCAAAAUUCUUGAGAAUCCCCAGGUGCUGUGGCAUACACCUGAAAUACCAGUGGCUCAAGAUUCUGAGGCAGGAGGAUUGUGAUAUUUUUCAACUUUUUUUAAAGAGAGAGAAUUUUUUAAUAUUCAUUUUUUAGUUUUCAGUGGACACAACAUCUUUAUUUUAUUUUUAUGUGGUGCUGAGGAUUGAGCCGAGCACCCCACGCAUGCCAGGUGAGCAUGCUACCAUUUGAGCCACAUCCCCAGCCCAUCUUUUCAUUUUCUUAAAAAUUUAUAUAUAUAAAUAUAAUUUUUUUUCCUCAGAAUCAAACCCAGUGCCUCACAUAUGCUAGGCACAUUGUCAACCACUGAGCCACAACCUUAGCCCAAGGGUUCUGAUUUGUAAGGUGGCCUCCCUGGAUAACAAGGAGUAAAGAACUCAGUGAGACCCUGUCUCUAAGAAGUAACUCAAAUAAUAAAUAAAAAAGAAGGCUGGGAAGUGGCUGAGUGGUUGAGUGCCACUGAGUUUGAUUCACAGUACCCCCAAGAAAAAUGCAUUAGGAACCAAGUUUUAAUAAACCGUAUGAUGGGUGGAUGGGCUUGUCCAUAAUAUUGUUUUCUUCUUUGGAUUCUCAGGCAUGGUUUACUAAUUCAGGAACUCUGUAAAAUUCACCAAUUCAAUAAAAGCAAGUGUAUGGUUUUAAAAAAUAAUAAUAUAGCAAGGUCCAUGAGGGGCCGCUUCCUGCUCUGGGAACCUCAGUAAUUGGUAGUCAUCACAAGUGGCCAUCAUGUCCUUAUCAUAAAGAGUUUGUGAAAGCUUCUAUUGUGCAGGAGUCUCUGAAGGUGCUAAAAGUGCCUGUCUUUUCAGAUCCUUUUGGUGAAGGAAUUCCUUAUGGAGGUCUCUGAUUUAGAGAUGAUGUCAUUGGGGAGCUCAAGUGAAACUGAUAAGUGAUGAACACAUUGCCACAUGGUCCAGGGCAGCCUAAAAGGUGUCAGAUUUUCUUGUCUUCAAGGAGUGUGUCAAGCAUCCUUGGAGGAGGAUGUCAGCAAUUUACGAUGUGCUCCUGCAAAAACGUCUCUGCUCAGGUCAUUUGUGAAAAGCUGAUGAGUAGUCUGAAAAUUUAUUUGGUCCUGUUAGUGAUAAGGACAAUUUGCAUUAGAAUGCUAUUGAAAUAGAGAAAACAGAAAAUAUUAGCCAAUUCUGAGGCGAAAAUAUAUACCAGUUGUGAUUAAAUGGGAUCAGUAAUUUUCAUUAUAUUUGGUAUUGGGUAUGGAUACUUACAGACAGGAACAGAUCAUCAAAGUAGCAGUAAUCUACCCAAGGCAAAUGUUGAGAUAGAGAAUAUCUGUGUUUCUGUGGUUGGUAUUUUAUUUUUUCUUCUGUGAUGGUCAGUGACUGUGUUUAAACAUUUCACGAUGCCCAGAUAGAACUCUAAUUUUUCCAUAUUUAAUGAAUUAGAAAAUGUUAGACUAUUAAAUAUUCUGAGAAGCACAUCAGAUUUUAUAGGAAUUUUUAGUUUCCAUAUACCUUGUUUUAACAUAUCAAAAAAUAUAUGAAGUGAUUUAAUUAGAGACUGAUGGUGUUUAUUUAUUUAUUUUUGUUACUGGGGAUUGCUGCGGCAAGUGUGGUGAAGCUAGCAGGUUCUGGCAAGGUUUGAUGGGACAUUGGAAGAAAUAAAGAGUCACACAUGCAGAAGAUACAACAUCUGGGAUCGUGUAGCACUGCUUUAUGAUGGAGCAGCAGGUCUAAAAAAUUAUACCAGGGGGGCUGGGGAUGUGGCUCAAGUGGUAGCGCGCUCACCUGGCAUGUGUGGGGCACUAGGUUUGAUCCUCAGCACCACAUAUAAAUAAAAUACAAGAUGUUAUGUCCACCAAAAACUAAAAAAUAUAAAUGAACAAAUAUUAAAAAUUAUCUCUCUCUUUAAAAAAAAGGA
rnacentral:lncRNA from 1 species